rnacentral:rRNA from 1 species
GAGGGGUAUAUAGGGCUUGCUCUAUAGAGACCGGCAAACGGGUGCGGAACACGUACACAACCUACCCUUAUCUUGGGAAUAGCCCAUAGAAAUGUGGAUUAAUACCCAAUAGUAUAUUAAGGAGGCAUCUUCUAAAUAUUAAAGAACUUCGGAUAAGGAUGGGUGUGCGUAAGAUUAGAUAGUUGGUGGGGUAACGGCUCACCAAGUCUACGAUCUUUAGCUGAUGUGAGAGCAUGAUCAGCCACACGGGCACUGAGACACGGGCCCGACUCCUACGGGAGGCAGCAGUGAGGAAUAUUGGGCAAUGGACGGAAGUCUGACCCAGCCAUGCCGCGUGAAGGAUGAAGGCGUUCUGCGUUGUAAACUUCUUUUAUCAGGGAAGAAACCCACGAUUUCUAUUGUGGUUGACGGUACCUGAGGAAUAAGCACCGGCUAACUCCGUG